ACAAUAUUGCCUCUCCUCACUGUUUCCCUCCUGGAUCACAAUUCAUAGGGAGAGGUAAACAAGAAAAAGGAGAGAGUGGGAAGGAGAAGAACUGCCAGUGGCUCAUCAGAUCCUGAGCAAGAUGGCAUUUGCAUCAGAGAAAGGCUUCCAAAAAAGAAGUAGAAAGGAGAUGCAAUGGGAACAAGAGGAGGAGUUGAGAAAGAAAUAUGGCAUCUUUAAAGAUAUGAGAGUCUGUCUCCAGAGGCUGAAUCCAAUAUCGCCUAAAGAGAAUUCUGGCAAUGUUUCUGGCCUGGGACAGUCCAGAAGAAGAAAGGUCCUGCAUGUGUCUAAGAAAGGCUUGCAAAAAAGAAGUGGACAGGAGAUACAAUGGGAACAGGAGGAGGUGUCAAGGAAGAAAUGUGGCAUCCUGAAAGAUGUGAGAGUCUGUCUCAGGAGGAUGAAUCCAAUAGAGUCUAAAGAGACUUCUGGCAAAGCUACUGUCCUUGGAAAGGUGGCAACUACCAGAAAAGAGUAGAAGAGAAAGAUGGCAAAGGAAGUGACUUGUUUGAUGGAAUAAAGGGAUGAAACAAAGGAAGAGUAGCAAAGUGUUCAUAAUAAAUAGAAGGCAAAUAGCCUGAAAAAACCUGUAAAAAGUUUAAAAGCGUGCUGAAUAUGGUGGCA